CCUGGAUAUGGGAAAGCCAACCAGGCCUGGGGUUCACAGUUCAGGACUGAAAUAGUUGUUUCCCCUUAUCACUAUAAUGUGAUACAGUACAACACAAGAGUGACGUGGUUGUGUAGCAGAAAUACAAAGUCAUAGCCUGAAGCAGUGAUGGAGCACCUGGUGGGAAGGCAGGGCCAGCCAGGGGAGCUCAGGUGUGUGCAAUGCACUGAGUGACCAGAAGGGAAGGAGUCAGGAUCCACCCCUUCUCAGACCCCAUUUAAGGGUCGGCAGUGGAAGUAAAGGUGUUUUGCUGGAGAUCCUUGCCUACUUGAGGUCUUCUAAAGCCUUAGAAGAUGAGGGCUGUACGGCUGUGUUUUACCUGGCUGUAAGGAGAGGCAUGCAGGAAGGCAAGGAGGGGUUUGCAGCUGGCAGAGCAACUGCUCCAGAAGAGUUUGUCUUCUCCCAUCUGCAACUGGGAACUCUGCUUCUAGAGAGGAAUCCCGUCAAAGAGCUGCCAGCAGAAUUUAUUUCCCACAUUGAUAUUAAGGUGCGUGGAAUUCCUACGUUACGCAACAUACAUCCCUCUCUUCCGUUCCCACUGGCUGCGUGGAUGACAGGUACCAAGAAAAGGAUGCCAGCUCGCCUGCUGUGUUUGGGAUUUUGCUCAAGGCACAGCGAUUGGAAAGGAGCACUGCAGGCUUUUCAGGACAGGCUCUGUUGGGCAGCAGCGUGGCGAUGACAGAUGGCUGGAGGCACUCGCGCAGGCUGGCUGCGGGCAGGCUCUGCAGAGCUGUGUAUAUCCUCAUUAGUGAGCAGUGCGGCGAUGCCCUGACUGUGUAGGAGUGGCCCCAGCCAUCCCGGUCUGUUCUGCCAGCUCUGCUUGCACAGCGUUCCGCAGCGUUUGCCUUAAUCACUUGCCUGUAUCCUCUGCGGUGUUUUUUGGUGGCAGGGGUCUGAGAUGCAGCUGGUUGGAGCGUACUGGGUGCUGCUGUCCUGCCUUGCUCUGAGUGAUCUGUCAGCUCCCUUGGCAGAGGCUGUGUGUCCAUGGCACUGCCACCUACAGUGUAGUAUUUAUAGACAGAUGGAGACGUGAUGUGCAGAACUAUGCCUCCUCCAGCUCCACAGCAGCUGAGCUGCUUCACACUUCACUCCUCGCACAGUGGACAGCAUGGGACGAGAUGGCACAGUGAUCUGAACCUCACUGCAGGACGGUGGGUUGCCUUGAUCUGAGUUACUGCAGGCUUUGCAUUCUAUGCUGUGCAGCUGUGCCUGUCAGGACUUCCAGGUCCUCUGCAUGCCCCAGGCAGCUUCUCCAUGCCGUGGGGCCUCGGGAGGCUGCCCAGAAAGCUGGAAGAGAGAUGGGAGGAUCUGUGCCUGUGACAUGGCGUGUGGUUGUCAAAGCCUGAUGCAUCUUUUCAAAACACUCCUGGUUUGACAGGACAGCUUUUCUUUCCUACCAAGUCAUGUUUCAUGAGCUAUUCCCAGCCUACUCUUCCUCCUACCUUUCCCUAUUGCUCUCUUGUCCGUAUGUUUGCCAUCCUAACCACCUAUAGCAAGAAACAGAGUAGGAGCUAAUGCUGACAGCUUCAGCACCACCUCAGCUACCACCCUGCAGUGUCCGUUCAAUGCUGCUUUUGUCUUCUCUGUUUUUCGGUUGGUAGAACACCAGUUUUAUGAUGCUUAUAUCACAAACACCAAACAAAACGUUUGCAAUAUAAACUGAGAUGUUUUUGUAGGCUGAUACAGGAUAACUCCAUCUCAGCUGCCAGUCUUUGUUUCUUGUGUGGUUUCUCAACUGUAUCUGGAAUGAAUAUGCCAUGUUUACAUUCAUCUACCAAACGUUUUAUGUUCUGUGAAUGAAGAAUCUCUGCAAGGGGAGCAGAAAUCUAAGUGGUAACAGAACAGUUUUGUUGUUUACCCAUGGCCGUUCCCAGAGUGUUUAUCCUGUUUCACCAGAUCCAUGUACAAUUACCAUGAGUUCUGAAUUUAAUUAUUUGAGGAAAAAAAGUUGUCAGCCAUCAGGUGACCUCAGAUUUCAGUGGCCCUGAGCCAGCCGGGCUGUGCUGGGGCCCAGUGUGUGUGCCUUCCCCUCCCAGGGCUGCCAGUGGCUCACUGAAGGAGUCAGGAAGGUUACUGAGCUCUGGGUAAGCCACCAGACUGCC